CAGCAGUGGGGAAUAUUGCACAAUGGGGGAAACCCUGAUGCAGCGACGCCGCGUGAAGGAAGAAGUAUUUCGGUAUGUAAACUUCUAUCAGCAGGGAAGAAAAUGACGGUACCUGAGUAAGAAGCCCCGGCUAACUACGUGCCAGCAGCCGCGGUAAUACGUAGGGGGCAAGCGUUAUCCGGAUUUACUGGGUGUAAAGGGAGCGUAGACGGUAAUGUAAGUCUGAUGUGAAAGCCCGGGGCUCAACCCCGGGACUGCAUUGGAAACUAUGUAACUAGAGUACCGGAGAGGUAAGCGGAAUUCCUAGUGUAGCGGUGAAAUGCGUAGAUAUUAGGAGGAACACCAGUGGCGAAGGCGGCUUACUGGACGGAAACUGACGUUGAGGCUCGAAAGCGUGGGGAGCAAACAGGAUUAGA
rnacentral:rRNA from 1 species